rnacentral:rRNA from 1 species
AAUCAACGCUGGCGGCGUGCCUAACACAUGCAAGUCGAGCGAGAAAGGGUAGCAAUACCUGAGUAAAGCGGCGCACGGGUGAGUAACACGUGGGUAACCUACCUCGGAGUGGGGAAUAACACCGGGAAACCGGUGCUAAUACCGCAUAUGCCGACGGGGUCUUUGGAUCCUGCCGGGAAAGGAGCAAUUCGCUCCGAGAGGGGCCCGCGGCUGAUUAGCUAGUUGGUGAGGUAAUGGCUCACCAAGGCUACGAUCAGUAUCCGGUCUGAGAGGACGGUCGGACACACUGGAACUGAGACACGGUCCAGACUCCUACGGGAGGCUG